GAUGAACGCUGACGGCGUGCCUAAUACAUGCAAGUCGAGCGAACGGACGAGAAGCUUGCUUCUCUGAUGUUAGCGGCGGACGGGUGAGUAACACGUGGAUAACCUACCUAUAAGACUGGGAUAACUUCGGGAAACCGGAGCUAAUACCGGAUAAUAUUUUGAACCGCAUGGUUCAAAAGUGAAAGACGGUCUUGCUGUCACUUAUAGAUGGAUCCGCGCUGCAUUAGCUAGUUGGUAAGGUAACGGCUUACCAAGGCAACGAUGCAUAGCCGACCUGAGAGGGUGAUCGGCCACACUGGAACUGAGACACGGUCCAGACUCCUACGGGAGGCAGCAGUAGGGAAUCUUCCGCAAUGGGCGAAAGCCUGACGGAGCAACGCCGCGUGAGUGAUGAAGGUCUUCGGAUCGUAAAACUCUGUUAUUAGGGAAGAACAUAUGUGCAAGUAACUGUGCACAUCUUGACGGUACCUAAUCAGAAAGCCACGGCUAACUACGUG
rnacentral:rRNA from 1 species